GAUGGCGACCGGCGCACGGGUGAGUAACACGUAUCCAACCUGCCGAUGACUCGGGGAUAGCCUUUCGAAAGAAAGAUUAAUACCCGAUGGCAUAGUUCUUCCGCAUGGUAGAACUAUUAAAGAAUUUCGGUCAUCGGAUGGGGAUGCGUUCCAUUAGGUUGGUUGGCGGGUAACGGCCCACCAAGCCUUCGAUGGAUAGGGGUUCUGAGACGGAAGGUCCCCCACAUUGGAACUGAGACACGGUCCAAACUCCUACGGGAGGCGCAUG
rnacentral:rRNA from 1 species